CACGCGCACACACACACACGCGCAUGCACGCACACGCACACACACGCCGGGGCAUUUUAACAGCCAUGCCCCAAACGAAGAGUGUGAAAACUGCACCAAAAACUGGUUACGGGCGUGCUAUGAAGACCUGAUAGGAGGUACUCCACCAACACACACACGCACACGCACGCACACACACCGGCAGCCCGUAAAACACCGAUAUUCUCUAAUGUGGUUUUUCGGGUGGCUGUAGAUUUUGCCAAACAGCUUUCCUCCAGAAGCACUACUUUGCUGUGCUCACAAAAGGACCUCAUUCCCGCGGCGCGUGAAUGAAUCCCGACCCCCGAUCCGCCACCAUUCAUGCAUCCCCCAGCCGAGCUGUUUACUUAAUCCAUAGAGAGCGGUGGCCGCGCUCCCCCGGCCUCAGCGAAACUCAGUGCUCCAGCUCGCUGGACGCGCUGCUCGGGAAAGAACAUUCCAUCCCCCUCAGCUUCUUCCUCCAUUAAACUGAGAAUUGAAUGUGUGUUAGUGAGUUUUGGGAUUUACCCGUGUUUUCUUCCAAUUCCUCAAGACCCCUCCGUAUUUUUAUGAAGAAACAGAAAACAUGAAGCAGACGUUACGCUACGGACAUCAAUCAGCACAUCUUUGUAUGAUUAGCUGUCAGUCCACAUUGGAACGAACUGCCGUCUAAAUACAGGCUUAAACCAAAAAAUUAAUACUUUAAGAAAGGGUUAGUGUGCUCCAUUUAUCAGUAAGAUCCAGUAAAGAAUGUAUUCUCACCUCAAUCUGUGAUUCAAAAACAGUCAUUUCUUUUUCCUAUGUAGCAUACUCCUUUUACCUUGACUUUUGUCACUUUUUACAUCUAAUGCUACCUAUGGUAAGGGGAACACAGCUCAUCAACCUCUCGGUGGAUACUUUUCCUUCUCUGUUUUCAUUACCAUCUAACACAUUCAUCAUCGUACAUGGAAAUGUCUGGUGUUACUCAACGCUUAAGUCUCUACCCCAUAGGGUUCUUUUCUUUCAGGCAUGAUGGCUCCUCUAAAAUCGUGACUCACAAACAUUCUAUUACAACAUGACUAUCACAACCAACAUUUCUGUUCUUCCCUGAGUGAUCAACAUGUUCACCCUUUCAUUAGGACGUUAGCAAGGUACCCUAGAAACUGUUUAAACAUUUCUUUGACACGGCCUAAAUUUCAAAGUUAUUUCAGGGUUUUGCAAAUCUCUUUAGUAAAAUUGGGUCAAAAAACAGAACAAUAGAUAUUUUGUGGGGCUCCAAAAGCCUUCGGAGCUCUUAAGCAAAUAUCUUCCUAAGUCAUAAUAUUGUGAACAUGAUCGUUUCACAGAUCAGGGUGAUGUGUGUGACUCUUCCUGUGUGUGUGUGUGUGGGGGGGGGUGUUGCUUGAGGUAAUUGCCAAUAAACACUACAUAACUAUUUAGGCCAUUCAACUGGACUCUUAGAGCAAUUAAAUAGGUAAAACACUGCACAGCUGCAAUUUUUCAGGACCUGCAGGUCUUGUCCACGUUUCAGAUACGUACCCCUGGAUUUUCGAUGACACAAAUUAGCAGAUGUGGAUUUGAAUAAGAACAUUAGAGGACACAAAGGGGAACACUCUAGUGGGAGGAAUGAAAGGUUUUAAAAUCUUAAAUCCCUGUGUGGGCCAAGACGAAUCUCAAGAAGAUUGAUAUUUGGCCUCCUCAUCUCCCCAGAUAAAUGCUAUGUAAAUCGGUCACUGAUUGAUUGAUAGCAUUUAUUAAAAUUCCAGUUUACAAUGCUAAUUAAGCAAUGCCCAUUUAUAAGUAUCAGAUACAGGGAGGUCAAUUCUUAUACUGGACAAUACUGGAAUAUUCUACGCGUAUAUCUAGUCCUACCUUUUCUGGACACAAAGCUAAUUAUUUCCAAAUUGCACAAAGACGGUGUCCCUUGAGAAUAAUCAAGGGCUUACUUUGAACAGAGCUGCGCAGCAGCGGCAGCAGCCCAUGCGGAAGAAGAGGGACAGACGUGGUUUUAAACAGUUUCUAUCGCUGAAUAGGGAAGGAUGGUUUCCACAUACGUCUUCCCGAGAAAAGACAAGUUUUGUGACCACUCCCACCCAUACGUUAAAUCACUGCCAUCUUGGAAAUAAAGGAGUCUAAUACAGAGUUCGAGAGAGACACAGAAUAAGGCCCACAUGAAACUUCUGUGUACUAUAGUUUGCCAUCUUGAUGAUGUCAGGAAUAAUUAGCAUUAUGGAUACUGCCUUUUAUAACUUAAGCAUUUCUUGUCUAAGAUCUGCAGAAUUCCCCACAGUUCUCUGAGCAGACACUAUUAAAUAUGUUGAAUUAUGUGGCUAUUUUAUGUUGUGAAUAAAUAACCACAUGGAAUCAUGCUUGCGCUAUUAAAUGAAUUUUACUUAUAACUGAAUUCAGUUCUUUAGGCAUAAAAGCCUAAUGACUGCACACCACAAGGAAGAUUUUUAAAAAUGCAUGAACCAAACCAAAUCAAAGCAAAUUGUAUUUAAAAAAAAAAAAAAAAGAAGCCCAUGAAUGAGCUGUUACUUCAAACUGGCACCGACUUAGCUUUAAUAUUAAGACUUCUUCUCACCUCUUUCUACUUAGGCCCCAACCCUUGGAAAAAAACAAAACAAAACAAAAAAAAAACCCAGAGUUUAACCAAAAC